UACAGAGGGGGCAAGCGUUGUUCGGAAUUACUGGGCGUAAAGGGCGCGUAGGCGGCCUUCUAAGUCAGACGUGAAAUCCCUCGGCUUAACCGGGGAACUGCGUCUGAUACUGGAUGGCUUGAGUUCGGGAGAGGGAUGCGGAAUUCCAGGUGUAGCGGUGAAAUGCGUAGAUAUCGUAAGGAAGACCAGUGGCGAAGGCGGGUCUCUGGACAGUUCCUGACGCUGAGGCACGAAGGCCAGGGGAGCAAACGGG
rnacentral:rRNA from 1 species